rnacentral:rRNA from 1 species
UACGUAGGGUGCGAGCGUUGUCCGGAUUUAUUGGGCGUAAAGGGCUCGUAGGCGGUCUGUUGCGUCGGGAGUGAAAACUUACAGCUUAACUGUGAGCGUGCUUCCGAUACGGGCAGACUUGAGGUAUUCAGGGGAGAACGGAAUUCCUGGUGUAGCGGUGAAAUGACGCAGAUAUCAGGAGGAACACCGGUGGCGAAGGCGGGUCUCUGGGCCGAUACUGACGCUGAGGAGCGAAAGCCAGGGGAGCAAACGGG